GGCGAUGCAAAAUUGAUAUAUUAUACAACUGUUUUACAAGUUACUAGUGAAUUGCAGGUAAGGAUGAAAGUACUUUGUUAGAACCUGACUAAGCUAAGAGUGUUAUAUGGGCUAAAAGCCCUCUUUAAGAACCAUGCUGCCCUAAUUCAGGUAGAAUUUCCCUUGACUUUGCUGGGAAUUUUCCCAGGGUAGGGCUUCCUGGAUUACUCCUGAACAAGUUGCAGUUCUUAUGAAAAGAAUUUUUAUUAAUGUCUGCUGGUGUUCAGAGUUCACUACAGAUUCUCUGGAACGUAUAAGGUCAUAAUGCAAGAAUUCUCAUACAACACCAGACUAUUCUGACCUCUGUAACCUAGGGAUGAUGCCUUCUGGGGUAUCUCUAGUUUCCGCUGCACUCUCUGGAGCAUGGAAUCAAUUGAUCUAUAGGAUAGUACAUUAUUAGGCUUUUAUAUUUGCUAAUUUAGUUUUGUUAUAUAAAAAUUUUGGACUGAAUUUUAGAACUGCUUGAAGAACCUAGUAGUAAAGGAAGGAUGUCUCUUUCUCAGAAACAAAAUGCCUUUCUUAGGAAAAGGUUUGAUCAUGCAUUAAAGCCAAGCCUCUGUCUUGUCUUACCUUAACUAACUGAUUUGUUUUUCUUGUCUGAAAAGUUGUUUUGAAAAGAGACUCCUCUACCCUAUUAUAGGGUGGUAGGCAUGAUUUCCUAGCAGUGUCAUGAACAUCUGUUGGGAUAUUUAGCUUAACUUUCCAAAACUUGGGAACUGAUGACAUCAUUGUUACUUGUGCUUUCUUUUUUAAACAGACUAUAAAUUCUCUUGUCCAGAACAACAACACAUUAACAGACAUGAAUAAAGGCUGGCAGAUUUUCUUCACUGGACAGAGAGGAGAUUUAAAGUAACUUGUUUCAUACUCAUACUAUAUUUUGAUUUUUUUUUAAAAAAAAGCACAAGUUGGAAAUCAAAUUAAUUAUCUUGAAGUGGAAUCUUGCUAAACCAUCACAGAAGUGUUUGUCACUGAUUCAACUGGAUUGAACAUAUUUUAGAACUGCAGGCCUGGUGAUCAGCUAUGGACAACAGCUUGGAGCUGAAAACAUCCCAUCAACUGUAGAGAAGAUAGGUGUGAUUUUAAUAUUGGACUUGAAGUGGCUUAACAACGAACACACCUUAAAGUAGUGGACUCACUGCAGCCUCAUUUUUGCUAUUUCUGAAAGUGUCUUAUUACAUGCUUCAUUUUCUAACUCCUGUCUUGAGAGCUACUGG
rnacentral:lncRNA from 1 species